GAUGAACGCCGGCGGUGUGCCUAAUACAUGCAAGUCGAGCGCACUGGCCCAACUGAUAUGACGUGCUUGCACCGAAUUGACGUUGGAUUCCCAGUGAGCGGCGGACGGGUGAGUAACACGUGGGCAACCUGCCCUGAAGCGGGGGAUAACAUCUGGAAACAGGUGCUAAUACCGCAUAACAACAAAAACCACAUGGUUUUCGUUUCAAAGAUGGUUUCGGCUAUCACUUCAGGAUGGGCCCGCGGUGCAUUAGCUAGUUGGUAAGGUAACGGCUUACCAAGGCGAUGAUGCAUAGCCGAGUUGAGAGACUGAUCGGCCACAAUGGAACUGAGACACGGUCCAUACUCCUACGGGAGGCAGCAGUAGGGAAUCUUCCACAAUGGGCGCAAGCCUGAUGGAGCAACACCGCGUGAGUGAAGAAGGGUUUCGGCUCGUAAAGCUCUGUUGUUGGAGAAGAACGUGCGUGAGAGUAAAC
rnacentral:rRNA from 2 species